rnacentral:rRNA from 1 species
UUCCGGUUGAUCCUGCCGGACCCGACUGCUAUCAGAGUGAGAUUAAGCCAUGCGAGUUAACGUAGCAAUACGUGGCGCACGGCUCAGUAACACGUAGUCAACAUGCCCAGAGGACGUGGAUAACCUCGGGAAACUGAGUCUAAACCGCGAUAAGUGAGGAUUUCUGGAAUGGUUCCUGACUAAAAUCUAUAUGGCCUCUGGAUUGGACUGCGGCCGAUCAGGCUGUUGGUGAGGUAAUGGCCCACCAAACCUGUAACCGGUACGGGCUCUGAGAGGAGGAGCCCGGAGAUGGGCACUGAGACAAGGGCCCAGGCCCUAUGGGGCGCAGCAGGCGCGAAACCUCUGCAAUAGGCGAAAGCCUGACAGGGUUACUCUGAGUGACUUUCGCUAAGAAAGUCUUUUGGCACCUCUAAAAAGGGUGCAGAAUAAGGGGUGGGCAAGUCUGGUGUCAGCCGCCGCGGUAAUACCAGCACCCCGAGUGGUCGGGACGAUUAUUGGGCCUAAAGCAUCCGUAGCCGGUUCUGCAAGUCCCCCGUUAAAUCCAGCUGCUCAACAGAUGGGCCGCGGAGGAUACUACAGAGCUAGGAGGCAGGAGAGGCAAGCGGUACUCAGUGGGUAGGGGUAAAAUCCGUUGAUCCAUUGAAGACCACCAGUGGCGAAGGCGGCUUGCCAGAAUGCGCUCGACGGUGAGGGAUGAAAGCUGGGGGAGCAAACCGGAUUAGAUACCCGGGUAGUCCCAGCCGUAAACGAUGCAGACUCGGUGAUGGGUUGGCUUCGCGCUAACCCAGUGCCGCAGGGAAGCCGUUAAGUCUGCCGCCUGGGUAGUACGGUCGCAAGACUGAAACUUAAAGGAAUUGGCGGGGGAGCACCACAAGGGGUGAAGCCUGCGGUUCAAUUGGAGUCAACGCCGG